CAGCCAUGUCCGGUUCUACCGCGGCACUGGAAACGCAAAGCGCUCAGGUGUCGGCAGCUUCCGACUUGGGAACGGCAAGUGCUCAGGCGUCGGAGGCAGUUAUAGGCCCGGAAGUUGCUCCCGCUCCUGCUGAACGUCCUGAUGAAGUAAACCUCGUCGAUGAACGCUCCUCUGAGCGGGCUGUGUCAACACCACCUACAUACACAAGGCCCCUCCGCAGCUCCGUGACGUCACCCUAUGCCAUCCGUCGGCAAGCCAACAAUGGCGUCCGCUUGCUGUGGUUGCGUUCGGCAGAGAUGCUAUUUCGAAGACGAAUUCACCCGUUUUCUCGAUGUGAAACAGCGAACGAGCGUGUACUUCCGAAGAAUAGGAUCCUACUGCAGUGUCUGUGCCCAUAACUUACGGAAUAAUUGCGUACACAGCGGCAAGCCCAGCGACUUACAACUUCUGCUGCUAAGAGUACACGAAAGCACGAAUAAAGAACUUGUCGAAGUACGAUUCAUGAAGAGCAGCAUUGACAACAAACGUAUGCGUUUCGGCUACAAAGGUGCCUCUUGUGACGUGUUUGCAGUAGACAAACAACUGGUGUAAGUGGUGAACAGGUGCGGGACAUACCAUCAAGAGUCAGCCGUGUGUCCUUCAGUAACUACGACUUCCUUCCCUGUCUUGCAGUCAACACUGCGUGAUGUUUUUGUGAUUGGUUGUUGGAAAACGACGACA